CGCGCAGGCAGAGAAGCCCGGACAACAGGUUUCGACGGGGUUCCCCGCCAGGGAAAUUCUGCAACUACGCUCCCCUCAACGUCUCGAAGGCUCAGGUGCUGAUGGAGGUCAGGGAGCAGCUCCCUAGGCCGGAGAGGAUGCGCACGCACCCCGGGAAGCGCAACCCCAACAAGUUCUGCCUCUACCACCGUGACCACGACCACGACACGGAGGAAUGCAUCCAGCUCCAGGACGAGAUCGAGGAGCUCAUUCGGCGAUGUCGACUCGACAGAUUCAUCCGCCGGAGGCCUGGGGAUAGAAGAGAUCGGCCAAGAGCCCUCCCGCCGCCUGAACUGCAGAAAAGGGAGGAGCAGCCCGGGGACCGGCCGCCCAUCGGGACCAUCGACUCCAUCUCCGGAGGGCCUCAAGGAGGAGCGGGAAUACUUUAAAUGUAUCACUUACUAUUUCAUUUUGAAUCUACUUUUUUUUAAGCUAACAUGCUCCUCCCACCUAGUGUGGAUGUAUUAUGGCUGGAUAUGAUCCAUCUAAGACCACAGCCCUGUUAGGGACAGGAGGAAAACCUCGCCCUAACUUGAGCAAAGUCAAAGGCCCGGUUCUUUUAGACCGGAUGGGGGGAGAGGCCUUACAACGCCCUAAUGUGCCCCCACAGCCCUGUUAGGGACAGGAGGAAAACCUCGCCCUAACUUGAGCAAAGUCAAAGGCCCGGUUCUUUUAGACCGGAUGGGGGGAGAGGCCUUGCAACGCCCUAAUGUGCCCCCACGGCCAUGUCAGAAAUAGGAGGAGGACCUCAUCCUGACAUGAGCAAAGUUGAAGGUCCGGUUCUUUU
rnacentral:lncRNA from 1 species